rnacentral:rRNA from 1 species
GUCUGCAACUCGAGUGCAUGAAGCUGGAAUCGCUAGUAAUCGCGGAUCAGAAUGCCGCGGUGAAUACGUUCCCGGGUCUUGUACACACCGCCCGUCACACCAUGGGAGUCGGGAAUGCCCGAAGCCGGUGGCCCGAUCGAGAGAAGGGAGCCGUCGAAGGCAGGCCGGAUGACUGGGGUGAAGUCGUAACAAGGUAUC